CUCCUCCUCUCCCCUCCCGCGCGCCUCCUCUCCCCGCGUCCCAGCCCCCGCUCGCCCCGCCCUCUCCCCUUCCUCUCCCUCCCUCAGACCUCGCCGCCCCGCUCACAUCGCUGCCGCCGAAGCCCUCAGACCACGCCGCGGUGGACCUCUCUCCUCCCCGCCCCGCCCGUCCCGCUCGCCGUGGCCGUGGCCGAUGACCGCGGCCCCGCCGUCCCGCCCCGCCCGCCGCGGCGGCCAUGGACGAGCUCGAGCUCGACAGGGGAGCAACGGGGAGAGGAACAUGAGGCUAGGGGGAGGAAGAAGAUGGCCACCGCCGCCGGAUCACCGCCGCGCCUCUGCUUCAACCCUAACCCUAGCGUUGCUGCUGCUGCUCAAGGUGCACGCAUGCGUCCAACGGUGAACCCUAGCCUCGGACGGCAGCAGCGCCCAUCACCAAUGACAGCAGCGACAGGAGCAGCCAGCAGCUCGGGUGCACCUAUCUCUUCCAGGAGCACGGCGCCCACCCCACCCACUACCCCUUCCCCCGCCAGCCAUGGGAGCUGGUGGCCUGCCUCUCCCUAGAUCGUGACCUGAAGCCGGCUCAGACUUCAGGACUAUGUUUAAACAUUCAACAACUCUGGCCAACAUAUGAAACAAGACCAAGUCUCGCAUGGGGAUGCAACCCAUCCUCUGCUUGCUUCCAGCACGGCGCCGGCCGGAUCCACCUCGGCCACAACCACGACACCGGCAUUGGCAGCCAUGUGCUUCUUCUCCAUCACCACAAAAUGAGAAUGCAAGGCACAAGCAAGGGAAGACCAUCGCUUCGCUCCUCUGGGCCGCCGCUGCUACAACCCUACUGGACGCCAUGCAAGAGAGGAGAAAUUAUGCAGAAUUCUGAAUCUUUAACUGUGGUCUGAGAAGAAAAUCGAAUCUUUCUUCAGAGAGUAGUCGUGUUGUGACAAAGAAAUCUGAAACAAUGAAUGUCUGUGACCUCUGCAAGUCGCGGACGUUGUGGAGCUGGACGAGGUUUUUUGGUGCGUUUGUGCUCGUCGGCGGGACGGUGCAAGGCGCAACUCCGACGUGGUUCCUUGCCGGUUGGACGGCGUUCACGCGCAACCCCGGCGUGCACUGAGUACUGCCUCGGUGAGCUCCAUCUUCCUCCUGCUCCUCUGCUUCGGCUACUGUAUGGGACAUGGCCAUGGCUAUAUUGAUCCAUCCAUCCAUCCAGAAAUAAGAAUAGAAGCUCCUCAGGCCGCACCACAGCGAUUUGGGAUUCCUGACCGUCGGAUCAGGUGCCUUGAUCGGAUCUGGGCCGUUGGGUCGACCCCUGUAACGACCUCGUCCGUCGGAUAAAAAAAAGUUACUACUGGAAUGAAUAGUUACUCCCAUUUCGUGCCACCGCUCAUAAAUAGCCUGCCCCGCCGGGGGCAUUCUCGCCAUUUCGCUUUGUCUGUGGCGGUGGCGUUCGUGCUAGGGCGAUGAUGAUUAACUGUGGCUGGAAUAAGUGUGCCUUUGAGCAAUCAAGGCACCUGUGGGUAUCAAGUUGGAUCCUCCCUGUUGUCUCUAGAAUCCUUUUUGAUCCUGUGAUACCUAUUGAUCUGUCCUUGGAUGGUCAUUCUUGUUGAGUGAUAACCAGGGCAGCUCCAUUGUGUAAACAGAUUGAUCUGGUGAUAAGAGAUGAUGGGGAUAGGUUAUAUGAUCGAGAAAAGGCGAAUUUGAGCCCACUAUGCAAUAAAACUACAGCUACCUCCCCUAAUGUGUGUAGUAUUGAAGGCAAAAGAGAACUUUUAAUGUCUUGCUACUUUAAAAUUCCAAAAAGGUGCAUUCUUCCUUUGCUGGUUACUUAACCAUGAUUUUUUGUUUUGCUUUGGUUCUGGUUGAGAUACUAAAGGUUGUUUAUAUAUGAAAAUAAUAGACACUUGUAGUUUUGUAUGCCUCACCUGUAGCUUAGGAUCCAGUGUUGUAAUGUUUUGCCUGGGUAAAAAUAACUCUAAUCAAUAAUAGUGGUUCUAUCCUUCUGAUUUGAACUGGGAGAGGGCCACUGAUUCUUGAUCUUAAGGUGACCCUAUUUUUCUAUGCCUCAUGCUCAUGCUGCUCCAUGUUCCCUUUUAAAGAUUCUUGCUUGCAUUUUGGGUUGGUCUUCUGCUCUAUGUUCCCUUUUAGCAUUUCUUUCCGCUGUUGAUGCAUUCCCUUUUUUGUAUAUUACAUGUUCUUUUGUAUCUCAUUCUGCAUGUAACAUAACUAAAUAAUACAUUGAGAUGAAAGGUUAUAUAUGAUAUCAUUGAGAGGAGCAUGCCAACAUCCCUACCUCCCUCUUCAACUCCCACCCAACACAAUUGUGGUGAGCUCCCCCUCUCAUCUACCUGCUAUUUGUACCUUCGGUUUUGGAUGCAUACAAAUUGUGUAUGCCAUGACUGAAACUCGAGCAGCAAAUUGUGUGUGUGUGUGUGUGUGCGCGCGCACACAUCACGUUUUUGUUUAAUUUUGGAUGGCUCAAACCGGCUGGAGCCAACUUUGUGUGUGUGUGAGUGCGCAUCCAUUGCAUGUAAAAAUCUUGUUUUUUCCAAACUCUUCUACUGUCGGAUAUGUAGAUAAAUUGCUUAUUUGGGCAGUUGUAGUACUCCAUGCGAUUGUCAAGGAUCUGCACUUUCAUCACACUAAAUGUAGUUGACUAAAAAGGUAAGUUAUGCCUUCUCUCUCGCUAAUCAAUUUUCUCUUGGCUAUUCUUUCUUUGCAAAUGAUCAUAUUUUGUGUAUUUUCACUAUGUAUUCUUGUAUCUAUAUAUGUUGAGCAGAUUGUUUCCUCUAUGACCAUGAUUCUAUAUGAUUACUGAGGUCUCUAACCUUCUCUUCUUUCCUAAUUAGAACAUGAUACUAAUCUGAUGUAUCUCCUAUUUGCGAUGACUAUUAAAUAUGGAGUUUCUGUGUUGUCUAAUGAAGCAGUCAAGUAUGCAAUCUGAGCAGAAUAUCAUUAAAAGGUCAUUGACCCAACAAAUUGAACUUAAUCUGAACCUCCCCUGUUCCUGCUAAAUAUCCCUAUUUUUCUGAACUUAACAAAGAACAACAUCAUAUAUUAGAUCAGCACACAAGUGAACCAGAAAGCAUUUUAUUCAGUCUUGGUACCCUUAGUGUAAAAUUAUUCCUUACUGGUUGGGGAUUUGGAGGUGCAGUAUGUGGUUGGCGAAGGAUUUUUUUUCUCCUAGGCUCCACACAUUCUCUUCCAUCUAAAACAACCGAUGCGGUCAAGUGGUGUAGUAGUUGAUGGUCGAGAGCUAAAAUCAGGGCACUGUUUUGUUUUAGGAUUUGUGUAAUCUUUAGAUCCACCUUUACCAUCACAAUUAUUUGCCUGAGCUCUGGUGAUUACUCCCAAGGAUUACCCCACCAAAUAACAUUACCGAGGUAUCACUGUGUGUCUGGCUGUUUAUUCAUGUGUAGUACUACAGUGUGUGGCCUUCUCUGUUUUGUCAAAUGCCAGUACUUGCUUUGUGACCCUUGAUGUAUCAACCUGUAACCCUUUGAAACAUGACCUGUUGCCUAUUGGUAUUACUGAUAUAAAAGAGAUAUUUUGUUUUUGCUGAUGCAGGAGGGCAGCAGCCUCGACGCGGCGAUCACGUCGCUCCUUAGCGUGGAGAUGUAGUGCCACCUGGCCGGCAGAAGGAAGUCCGCCGAUCGUCGAGAUCUGCUUCAAGGAUGGCGCCUGGAAGAAGCUCAAUGACCAGAUCAUCGUCCUCUCCAAGAGGAGGGGUCAGUUCAAGCAGGUUGGUCCGCUGUCUACAGGUGCUCGUUAUUCUGGCCAGUUUGUCGUGCUCUAUCUUCGACCACCUCUUUGCAGUAACUUUUUCCCGCCUUGCUGGAGGAGAUGAAGCACAUGGCAAAGCAGGAGUUCAUUGCGCACUUAAGAAGAGGAGGCGUCCUGGAGCACGGUGGAGGCAUUUUGGACGUGGAGCACGGCCUUGCGGUUCCUCGCCUAGGGAGGCCAUGCGAGAAACUUGGGGCAGCAAGGUACUGCCUCUUGCUGCUCCUCCCCCAUGUCUGGAGCUCGCCUGGAGCUCCCCCACGCCUUGAGCUCGCUAGAGCAGAGGCCUACGAAGCGCUCCCUGGGGCAAGGCCUGGGGCGAUCUGCAGGGAGGAACAGAGGCCUGGAGCUGCGGGGAGAAGAGGUCUGAAGCUGCAGGGAGGAGCAGAGGCCUGGAGCCGGCGGCGAGCUCUGGAGGCGACGACGCGAGGAAGGAGCGAAUCACGAGGGAGAGGGAGGAGCGGAUCGCCAACUUUUGAAUUGUAUAAGGAUGUAAUUGAAAAAUGUUGUUUAGUUCAAAAUGUGUCGGUUGCGACAGAUAUUUCAGGACGGAGAAAGUACUAUUGACAUAGAUACACUUUAUUUAUCAAGGAUUUUUGUAUAUCAUAUUAUCAUAGGAAAAUGAUCUAUGUAUGCACUUUUUAUGGUCAUGUACAGUUCAGAGCCAGUGUUAUUUAUCAAACACAUAAUUUAAAUAAGGCUUGUGAAAAAAUUGCCCAUUGAAAUGAUCACUUUGGAUUGGUAGUGUCAAAAGGAUGCAGAACAUUUGUAACAUUUCUUCCCAUAUUCAUGAGACUUUCACUCU